GGGCGGUUAGCUCAGCUGGCUAGAGCGCAACAUUGACAUUGUUGAGGUCAGAGGUUCAAGUCCUCUACCGCCCA
rnacentral:tRNA from 1 species